AUUCGAGAAAGGCAAACUCUCUGAAAAGAGAGGACGCAAAGUUAUGGGUCUGUCGGAGAUACUCCUACGAUCGCCAAACUGCCGAU
rnacentral:ncRNA from 1 species